rnacentral:rRNA from 1 species
CAGUAGCCGCGGGAAUACGUAGGGUGCGAGCGUUAAUCGGAAUUACUGGGCGUAAAGCGUGCGCAGGCGGUUCGUUAAGACAGAUGUGAAAUCCCUGAGCUUAACUUAGGAAUUGCAUUCGAUACUGGGAAGCUAGAGUAUGGGAGAGGAUGGUAGAAUUCCAGGUGUAGCGGUGAAAUGCGUAGAGAUCUGGAGGAAUACCGAUGGCGAAGGCAGCCAUCUGGCCUAAUACUGACGCUGAGGUACGAAAGCAUGGGGAGCAAACAGGAUUAGAUACCCCGGUAGUCCCUGUCUCUUAUAA